rnacentral:rRNA from 1 species
UACGAAGGGGGCUAGCGUUGCUCGGAAUCACUGGGCGUAAAGCGCACGUAGGCGGGUCGUUAAGUCGGGGGUGAAAUCCUGGAGCUCAACUCCAGAACUGCCUUCGAUACUGGCGACCUUGAGUCCGGGAGAGGUGAGUGGAACUCCGAGUGUAGAGGUGAAAUUCGUAGAUAUUCGGAAGAACACCAGUGGCGAAGGCGGCUCACUGGCCCGGUAUUGACGCUGAGGUGCGAAAGCGUGGGGAGCAAACAGG